CAUUAGCUAGUCGGCGGGGUAACGGCCCACCGAGGCGACGAUGCGUAGGGGUUCUGAGAGGAAGGUCCCCCACACUGGUACUGAGACACGGACCAGACUCCUACGGGAGGCAGCAGUGAGGAAUAUUGGUCAAUGGGCGCGAGCCUGAACCAGCCAAGUCGCGUGAGGGAUGGCGGUCCUACGGAUUGUAAACCUCUUUUGCCGGGGAGCAAGCGUGCGUUCGUGAACGCGCGUCGAGAGUACCCGGAGAAAAAGCAUCGGCUAACUCCGUGCCAGCAGCCGCGGUAAUACGGAGGAUGCGAGCGUUAUCCGGAUUUAUUGGGUUUAAAGGGUGCGUAGGCGGGAUGCCAAGUCAGCGGUAAAAAUGCGGUGCUCAACGCCGUCGAGCCGUUGAAACUGGCGUUCUUGAGUGGGCGAGAAGUAUGCGGAAUGCGUGGUGUAGCGGUGAAAUGCAUAGAUAUCACGCAGAACUCCGAUUGCGAAGGCAGCAUACCGGCGCCCUACUGACGCUGAGGCACGAAAGCGUGGGUAUCGAACAGGAUUAGAUACCCUGGUAGUCCACGCAGUAAACGAUGAAUGCUAACUGUCCGGUGCGAGUGAGCGCUGG
rnacentral:rRNA from 1 species